GCAGAACGAGUUUUAGGCUGAACUAGAACCCAUGGUGAGGAGUCGUCAUCUCCCAUUCACCUGCAGCCCUCACUUGAGGAUGCGAAUUCAGAGCAGCAGGACCCAUCAGGAGAAGCACCACAAACACUUGGAUGAGGGAAGACGUAGGAGGAGUUUGUCCAGCAAGAAGAGGAGUUUAUAGCCCAGCUAUAAAUAGCUACCUACCAAAACCAAAGAGGAGUGUGGGGAUCAGGGAUCCACAGUAGCCAGCCAUUGAAGGAGGUAAAGCAGUUCUGUGUCUCUGAAUGAAGAAGAGACCAUCAUCUUCUAGGAAGUGUAUCGAGAAAAGUGGUCAACUGCAUC